UACGUAGGGGGCAAGCGUUGUCCGGAUUUAUUGGGCGUAAAGAGCGUGUAGGCGGUCAGGUAGGUCCGUUGUGAAAACUCGAGGCUCAACCUCGAGACGCCGAUGGAAACCAUCUGACUAGAGUCCGGAAGAGGAGAGUGGAAUUCCUGGUGUAGCGGUGAAAUGCGCAGAUGUCAGGAAGAACACCCGUGGCUAAGGCGGCUCUCUAGUACGGUACUGACGCUGAGACGCGAAAGCGUGGGGAGCGAACAGG
rnacentral:rRNA from 1 species